GUUUAAUCACAGUGAGUCUAUUAUUUGUCUGUAUGACAACUUCCUAUAGAAAACCAGAGAGAAGUAGUAUUGUGUUUUCUGAAUUUAUCUUAAAUAACUCAUGAUUUUAUUUCCCCUAUUCUUUUUGUAGGGCGAAAGGGGAUUCCCAGGCUUGGAAGGGCAGCCAGGUUUGCCUGGGUUUCCAGGACCAGAAGGACCUCCUGGUCCAAGAGGYGCAAAGGGUGAUGAUGGACUUCCAGGGCCUGUUGGACCCAAAGGAAUCAGAGACCUGAACAAGCUCCAGUAACUUUGCUUCAGUUUAUUACGAAGUAUAUGCAAUAUAUCUAGAGUUGGCAUGGCAGAGGUUGAUUUAUCUGG
rnacentral:lncRNA from 1 species